rnacentral:rRNA from 1 species
AGCAGUAGCCGCGGUAAUACGGAGGGUGCAAGCGUUAAUCGGAAUUACUGGGCGUAAAGCGCACGCAGGCGGUCUGACAAGUCAGAUGUAAAAUCCCCGGGCUUAACCUGGGAACUGCAUUUGAAACUGUCAGGCUGGAGUCUUGUAGAGGGGGGUGGAAUUCCAGGUGUAGCGGUGAAAUGCGUAGAGAUCUGGAGGAAUACCGGUGGCGAAGGCGGCCCCCUGGACAAAGACUGACGCUCAGGUGCGAAAGCGUGGGGAGCAAACAGGAUUAGAUACCCCUGUAGUCCCUGUCUCUUAUAC